rnacentral:rRNA from 1 species
UACGUAGGGUGCGAGCGUUGUCCGGAAUUAUUGGGCGUAAAGGGUGCGUAGGUGGUGGGGUAAGUCGGAUGUGAAAUCUCCGAGCUCAACUCGGAAAUUGCAUUGGAAACUACCCUGCUUGAGGGUCGGAGGGGGGACUGGAAUUCUCGGUGUAGCAGUGAAAUGCGUAGAUAUCGAGAGGAACACCAGUGGCGAAGGCGAGUCCCUGGGUUAACACUGACGCUCAGGCACGAAAGCGUGGGGAGCAAACAG